UACACUGGUAAUGGUACUCCAGGUUACCCACCUGGAUGGGGUUCAAGUCCCUGCGGUGUA
ensembl:sRNA